rnacentral:rRNA from 1 species
AUUGAACGCUGGCGGCAGGCCUAACACAUGCAAGUCGAGCGAGCGGCGGACGGGUGAGUAAUGUCUGGGAAACUGCCUGCUGGAGGGGGGUAACUCCUGGAAACGGUAGCUAAUACCGCAUACCAUCAGAUGUGCCCAGAUGGGAUUAGCUCGUAGGUGGGGUAACGGCUCACAUAGGGGACGAUCCCUAGCUGGUCUGAGAGGAUGACCAGCCACACUGGAACUGAGACACGGUCCAGACGCCUACGGGAGGCAGCAGUGGGGAAUAUUGCACAAUGGGCGAAAGCCUGAUGCAGCCAUGCCGCGUGUGUGAAGAAGGCCUUCGGGUUGUAAAGCACUUUCAGCGGGGAGGCGUUACCCGCAGAAGAAGCACCGGCUAACUCCGUGCCAGCAGCCGCGGUAAUUC